rnacentral:tRNA from 1 species
GUAUAUAAAGCUAAAUGUAUUGAAGCACUGGUCUUGUAAAUCAGAAAUAGAAGUAAUUCUAUAUACU